GGACCUGCGGAAAUCGGGAUCAUUACCGAGUUUACAACUCCCAAACCCAAUGUGAACGUUACCAAACUGUUGCCUCGGCGGGGUCACGCCCCGGGUGCGUCGCAGCCCCGGAACCAGGCGCCCGCCGGAGGAACCAACCAAACUCUUUCUGUAGUCCCCUCGCGGACGUAUUUCUUACAGCUCUGAGCAAAAAUUCAAAAUGAAUCAAAACUUUCAACAACGGAUCUCUUGGUUCUGGCAUCGAUGAAGAACGCAGCGAAAUGCGAUAAGUAAUGUGAAUUGCAGAAUUCAGUGAAUCAUCGAAUCUUUGAACGCACAUUGCGCCCGCCAGUAUUCUGGCGGGCAUGCCUGUCCGAGCGUCAUUUCAACCCUCGAACCCCUCCGGGGGAUCGGCGUUGGGGAUCGGGACCCCUCACACGGGUGCCGGCCCCGAAAUACAGUGGCGGUCUCGCCGCAGCCUCUCCUGCGCAGUAGUUUGCACAACUCGCACCGGGAGCGCGGCGCGUCCACGUCCGUAAAACACCCAACUUUCUGAAAUGUUGACCUCGGAUCAGGUAGGAAUACCCGC
rnacentral:rRNA from 1 species